GAUUUCUGGUAUGAUGCGCUUGUCCCGUCUAGAAAUAGCUCGUGUGGCACCGCGCGUCUACCAUCCUUCGCUACAGAUGUGCUGGCCUGUCAAAGGGUCCGCUGCUGUUGUGAUCUUUUACUUUGAAAAAAUUAGAGUGUUUAAAGCAGGCUUGCGCCUUGAAUACAUUAGCAUGGAAUAAUAAUAUAGGACUGGGUUCCUAUUUUGUUGGUUUUCUGGAAUCGAGUAAUGAUUGAUAGGGAUAGUUGGGGGUGCUAGUAUUCAGCGGCCAGAGGUGAAAUUCUUUGAUUCGCUGAAGACUAACUUAUGCGAAAGCAUU
rnacentral:rRNA from 1 species